rnacentral:hammerhead_ribozyme from 1 species
AUCCAGCUAACGAGCCCCAGAUGGGACGAAACACGCGUCCUAGAU